rnacentral:rRNA from 1 species
GACGAACCGUGCGAACGUUGUUCGGAAUCACUGGGCUUGAAGGGCGCGUAGGCGGGCUGGCAAGUCUGGGGUGAAAUCCACCGGCUCAACCGGUGAACGGCCUCGGAUACUGCCGCCGUCGAGGCGGGUUAGGGCGUGCGGAACUCUGGGUGUAGCGGUGAAAUGCGUAGAUAUCUGGAGGAACACCGGUGGCGAAGGCGGCAAUCCUGGACCGGCAGU